GACGAACGCUGGCGGCGUGCUUAACACAUGCAAGUCGUACGGUAAGGCCCUUUCGGGGGUACACGAGUGGCGAACGAGUGAGUAACACGUGAGUAACCUGCCCACAACUUUGGGAUAACGCUAGGAAACUGGUGCUAAUACUGGAUAUGUGCUCCUGCUGCAUGGUGGGGGUUGGAAAGCUCCGGCGGUUGUGGAUGGACUCGCGGCCUAUCAGCUUGUUGGUGGGGUAGUGGCCUACCAAGGCGGCGACGGGUAGCCGGCCUGAGAGGGUGACCGGCCACAUUGGGACUGAGAUACGGCCCAGACUCCUACGGGAGGCAGCAGUGGGGAAUAUUGCACAAUGGGCGCAAGCCUGAUGCAGCAACGCCGCGUGCGGGAUGACGGCCUUCGGGUUGUAAACCGCUUUCAGCAGGGACGAAGCUUUUUGUGACGGUACCUGCAGAAGAAGCACCGGCUAACUACGUG
rnacentral:rRNA from 1 species